AUGGCUAUAUCACCAGCCCCAGCUCCAAGCCCCUCAUUGCACAGAAAAAAGCACCUGCCCGCCAUGGGGGAAUGCAAGAGCUCCCGGCGCACCUCGCGCCCUCUCCUCCUCCCCGCCAUUGUUGUCGUGCUCGCAUUCUUCGUCGCGCAAUGCGGAGCGAGGGUGCUGACGGUGGACGAGCUGCUGGACCAGUACUCCGAGUCCGACCACCACUCCGCCUCUCCGCCUCCGGGCUCCCCCGGCUGCGCCCCGGAGCCGGAAGCGUCGCCGCCGCCCGUCAUCCCGGCGCCCUCCUUCGCCUAUCUCUCGCCCCCGCCGCCCAUGCAGUUCUACUCCCCUCCGCCCCCCGAGGUCGUGCCCAGCCCGCCUGAGAUCACGCCGAGCCCGCCGGAGGUCGUGCCUAGCCCGCCUGAGAUCGCGCCACUGCCGCCGGUCGUUGCGCCCAGCCCGCCUGAGAUCGCGCCACUGCCGCCAGUCGUCGCGCCCAGCCCNNNNNNNNNNNNNCCGAGUCCACCGGAGGUUGCGCCCAGUCCACCGGAGGUCGCACCGCUCCCGGGGCCACCAGAGGUCACGCCUAGCCCGCCGGAGGUCGCGCCGUUCCCAGGGCCACCAGAGGUCACACCCAGCCCACCGGACGUGACGCCAUUCCCGGGGCCACCGGAGGUCGAGCCCAGCCCGCCGGACGUGACGCCGUCCCCGGGGCCACCGGAGGUCGAGCCCAGCCCGCCGGACGUGACGCCGUCCCCGGGGCCACCGGAGGUGACUCCCAGCCCACCGGAGGUCACACCGUUCCCGGGGACACCGUACGUGGCGCCCAGCCCACCGGAGGUGACGCCGUUCCCGAGCCCGCCGGAGGUGACCCCCAGCCCGCCAGACUACGCGCCGUACCCGCCGCCGGAGUCCUCGCCGGGGUCGGGGUCGUCCCCGAGCCCGCCGGGGGGCAGCUUCCAGCCACCGGUGGUGCUCCCGCCGACGACCGGGCCGCCGUCGCCGUCGGCGGGGCACGGCGAGUGGUGCGUGGCGAAGCCGUCGGUGCCGGCGGCGAUCGUGCAGCAGGCCAUGGACUACGCGUGCGCUUCGGGCGCCGACUGCGAGUCCCUCCAGGCCGACGGCGCCUGCUUCAAGCCGGACACCAUGACCUCCCACGCCUCCUACGCCUUCAACAGCUACUGGCAGCGCGCCAAGUCCACCGGCGCCACCUGCGACUUCGGCGGCACCGCCAUGCUCAUCACCAAGGACCCCAGCUAUGAUAACUGCCAUUACAGUGUGAUGUGA
rnacentral:rRNA from 1 species